AGAACGAACGCUGGCGGCAGGCUUAACACAUGCAAGUCGAACGCCCCGCAAGGGGAGUGGCAGACGGGUGAGUAACGCGUGGGAAUCUACCCAGAUCUUCGGAACAACUGAGGGAAACUUCAGCUAAUACCGGAUACGCCCUACGGGGGAAAGAUUUAUCGGAUUUGGAUGAGCCCGCGUUGGAUUAGCUAGUUGGUGAGGUAAUGGCUCACCAAGGCGACGAUCCAUAGCUGGUCUGAGAGGAUGAUCAGCCACACUGGGACUGAGACACGGCCCAGACUCCUACGGGAGGCAGCAGUGGGGAAUAUUGGACAAUGGGCGAAAGCCUGAUCCAGCCAUGCCGCGUGAGUGAUGAAGGCCUUAGGGUUGUAAAGCUCUUUCAGUAGGGAAGAUAAUGACGGUACCUACAGAAGAAGCCCCGGCUAACUUCGCGCCAGCAGCCGC
rnacentral:rRNA from 1 species